rnacentral:rRNA from 1 species
AAGGGCACCACAAGAACGCGUGGAGCAUGUGGCUUAAUUUGACUCAACGCGGGAAAUCUUACCGGGUCCGGACACACUGAGGAUUGACAGACAAACCAAACCAAACAUGAAAGUUCUUUCAUGAUUAUGUGAUAGGUGGUGCAUGGCCGUUCUUAGUUCGUGGAGUGAUCUGUCUGCUUAAUUGCGUUUCGCAAUUUGAUACGUGAUGCGUGUAAGUAAUCGGUGCGCGUGUGUGCAAGCAUACGUGUAACGCAGCGCUGCAGUAUCUUGAAAGCAACGAACGUGAUCGCAACCAUUAGUUGACUCCUAGCGUAGGGGGAGUCAUAGGCAAAAACUAAUGGGACCGCUGUCAACUUCUUAAACCAGAGGAAGGUUGCGGCAAUAACAGGUCUGUGAUGCCCUCAGAUGUUCCGGGCCGCACACGUGCUACAAUGAUUGUUGCAGUGAGCAUCAUAUGUAAAAGCACGAUAAUUUUUUACCGUGUCGCACAUGCACACCACGCGUGUGUGUGUGACCUCUGCCUGCAUCGAGAGCUUGCAAGGUAAUCAAUUAUAAGUAACGUUUUCCCACGUUAUAAUUUAGCCACACAUAUACGGCAUUGGUUACCACAAUCCGGUUCAAAUCCGGCUCUGUUGCGUGACUGAUGGUCUCUCGACCGUAUGUGCUAUUGUCAACUCACGGUGGGGACAGACCAUUGUUAAUUGUUGGUCUCGUCUUAACUAGGAAUGCCUCGUACGGGUCGGUUCAACAAACCACCCGGAAUGCGUCCCUGCCCUUUGUACACACCGCCCGUCGCUCUUACCGAUGGACUUCUCUGUGAGUUUGAGGGACUCAACGUGCGUGCGUGUGCAUUCGUGUAUGCGUGUGUGCGCCACGGAAACUUAACCGAACAGUGUGGUCUAAAGGAAAGAGAAGUCGUAACAAGGCAUCGGUAGGUGAACCUGCAGAAGGAUCA